UGUAUUCUGAGCCCUCUGCCUUCUGCAGAGAUCUCAGGUAUCUGAUUAAAUCUUAAAUUGUCAUCUGAGUCUGGAGUGCUGAACUCAGCAUUCCUCACUGGGCAGCACUGGAGGAUGAGCAGACCGGGGAGUCCUGAGGAAGAAAAGGAGGCAGCAGAGAAGGGACAGCCCAGGCCUGUGGCUGCCACAGCUCCAACCUCCCAGCAAGGAAGCACUUGUGUGAGGAGAGCCCUCCCUCUCUACAUGCAGCUGGAGACCGAGCCACAGCCAUGUCUGCAAUGUGCUUUUACUUAAAAGAGCAAAGACUGAAAACCCACAUGGAUCCCAAAUCUAUAUCCAGCCCAGACACCCUCUCUGAUCCAACUUCUUAUUAGAUAUCUCCACUGAGGUGUUUCUCCGACACCUCAUCCUCAAGACAUCCAAAACCCCCCCCUCCAAAUGCUUGUUGCCCACAGCUGGAAAGACUCGUUGAGAGAAGACACAUACCCAAGCAUCUUGUUGAGACUUUUGAAUGCUGAUGAUAAAGAAAAAAAUCUUUCAACCUUUUUAACAACAGAAAAGUUUUUCUACAAAUAAAAAAUCAACCUGACAAUGGA
rnacentral:lncRNA from 1 species